CGACAAGCGGAGGAGGCAUGUGGUUUAAUUCGAUGAUACGCGAGGAACCUUACCUGGGCCCGAACGUAAGAUGACUGUAGGUGAAAGCUUACAUCUCUUCGGAGCAUUUUACGAGGUGCUGCAUGGUUGUCGUCAGCUCGUGCCGUGAGGUGUCGGGUUAAGUCCCAUAACGAGCGCAACCCCUACCUUUAGUUGCCAUCAGGUUAGGCUGGGGACUCUAAAGGAACUGCCUACGCAAGUAGUGAGGAAGCGGGGAUGACGUCAAAUCAGCACGGCCCUUACGUCCAGGGCUACACACGUGCUACAAUGGCCGAUACAGAGGGCAGCUACCUGGUGACAGGAUGCAAAUCUCCAAAGUCGGUCUCAGUUCGGAUCGGAGUCUGCAACCCGACUCCGUGAAGUUGGAUUCGCUAGUAAUCGCGCAUCAGCCAUGGCGCGGUGAAUACGUUCCCGGGCCUU
rnacentral:rRNA from 1 species